GAGUCGGUAGUGCAACGGGUAGAGCACACGAUCCCGGAUAGAAUGAAAUGCGGGUUCAAGUCCCGCCUGACGUUUCU